AUUGAACGCUGGCGGCAUGCUUUACACAUGCAAGUCGAACGGUAACAGGCCGCAAGGUGCUGACGAGUGGCAACGGGUGAGUAAUGCAUCGGAACGUGCCCAGUCGUGGGGGAUAACGCAGCGAAAGCUGCGCUAAUACCGCAUACGAUCUGUGGAUGAAAGCGGGGACCUUCGGGCCUCGCGCGAUUGGAGCGGCCGAUGUCAGAUUAGGUAGUUGGUGGGGUAAAGGCUCACCAAGCCGACGAUCUGUAGCUGGUCUGAGAGGACGACCAGCCACACUGGGACUGAGACACGGCCCCAGACUCCUACGGGAGGCAGCAGUGGGGAAUUUUGGACAAUGGGGGCAACCCUGUCCAGCAAUGCCGCGUGCAGGAAGAAGGCCUUCGGGUUGUAAACUGCUUUUUGUACGGAACGAAAAGGCUCUGGUUAAUUACCUGGGGCUCAUGACGGUACCGUAAGAAUAAGCACCGGCUAACUACGUGCCAGCAGCCGCGGUAAUACGUAGGGUGCGAGCGUUAAUCGGAAUUACUGGGCGUAAAGCGUGCGCAGGCGGUGCUGUAAGACAGGCGUGAAAUCCCCGGGCUUAACCUGGGAAUGGCGCUUGUGACUGCAGUGCUGGAGUGUGGCAGAGGGGGCAUGGAAUUCCGCGUGUAGCAGUGAAUGCGUAGAUAUGCGGAGGAACACCGUGG
rnacentral:rRNA from 1 species